GGGCGGUUAGCUCAGCUGGUACGAGCGCUUGCUUCACACGCAAGAGGUCACUGGUUCAAACCCAGUACCGCCCACCA
rnacentral:tRNA from 1 species